GCUGGGUGCAGUGGUGCAUGCUGUAGACCCAGCUACUCGGGAGGCAAGGUGGGAGGAUGGCUUGAGCCCAGAAGUUCGGGGCCGUAAUGCGCUGUGCCAGUCGGGUGUCUGUCCUAAGUUUAGCCCCUAUGUAGUGACCUCUCAGGAGUGCAGAACCCUCAGGUUGCCUAAGGAGGGAUGAACCUGACCAGGCUGGAAACAGAGAAGGUGAAAAUUCCCAUGCUGAUCAGUGGUGGGAUGGCGCCUGUGAACAGCCACUGCACUCUAGCCUGGACAAUAUAGCGAGAACCUGUCUCU
rnacentral:SRP_RNA from 1 species